rnacentral:lncRNA from 10 species
CUCUUGCAUUCAGAAGAAAAGAGAAUGAGUUUUGGUGGACCACUAGCCUUUGCUGGGAUACCAGCAUCUUCAUAGCUGUCACCUACCCUCAGAUCCUCUCGUCUUUCGUUAUUCAGCCUAGGUUGCAUGAUCUAACACGAUAAUCACUCCCUUAACUUCCUUGCUGUUCUGCCUCCUUCAUGCAAAUUUGGAAAACUCUCAACUCUGUACAUGUCUGUCUCUGAACAGCUGAAAAUAGCUGCAGAAAAACCAUGUCUAUUCUUAAAUUCAUGACCACAGACUUAAAAUGGGCACUCAAGAUCGCUGAGCAAUCCUUUCAACAUUGUAAGACUUUCCUUAUUUGUUUACUUUCCAACUCUCUGAAAUUGCUGUUUUGCACCUUUGCCUCUCACUUCAAAACCCCUCCUUCAGUAGGCCAGGCUUGGUGGCUCAGACCUAUAAUCUCAGUGCUUUGGGAGGCCAAGGUGGGAGGAUUGCUUGAACCCAGGCUGGAGUGUGGUGGCAUGAUCAUGGCUCACUGUAGACCUCCUGGGCUCAAACGAUCCUCCCGUCUCAGCCUCCUGAGUGGUUGGGACCACAGGUACAUGUCACCAUGCCUGGCUAAUUGUUUUUAAUUUUUUGUAGAAACAGGGCCUUCCUAUGUUGUCCAGGCUGGUCUCAAACUCCUAGGUUCAAGCGAUUCUCCUACCUUGGCCUUCCAAAGUGCUGAGAUUACAAGCAUGAGCCACUGCGCCUGGCCAAUAAAUGCUUUAAGCUGCUGAAUUUUGGAGGUAAUUUGUUGUGUAGCAAUAUAUAGCCAACACAUACAUAAAUAAAGGUGUCUUUUUGCAAUAUGGCAUCCUCUGAAAAAUGCAGUAUUCCUAUUUUGUAGAUAAGGAAACUGACCUUAGAGAGAUCAAGCAAUUUGCUAAAAGUAACAUUACUGGUUAAUGUCAAGUAAACUUUAACCUGGCCUAUGUCAGAAUUCAUUUAAAUCUCUGAAUUUAUUUAGGUCUAAACUGGUUAUUUUACUGAUUUCUAAAAAUAUUAAUAGGGAAAUUUGAUAUUUUUGUGUCUUUGUAUCCAUCUUCUUCCUUGUAGGUGGAUGGCUUAGCAAAGUAUUUUUUAUUAAAGGUUGACAAUAUAUCCCACAUAAUUUCUCUUUCUCCUGUUUUUUUCUUUAAAUUUAUUUUAUUUUAUUUUUUAUUUUUUUGAGACAGAGUCUCAGUUUGUUGCCCAGGCUGGAGUGUAGUGGUGAGAUCUCAGCUCUUGCAACCGCCGCCUCCCAGACUUAAGCGAUUCUCAUGCCCCAGUCUCCCAAGUAGCUGGGAUUACAGGCAUGUGCCACCACUCCCAGCUAAUUUUUAUAUUUUUAGUAGAUACUGGGUUUUGCCAUGCUGGCCAGGCUGGUCUCCAACUCCUAGCCUCAAGUGAUCCACCUGCCUUGGCCUCCCAAAGUGCUGGGAUUACAGGUGUGACCCUGGCCUCUUUCUCCUUCUUAACACUAGUGUGUUAGUUGACUUGUGUGUUUAUUCAUAUGUUAUACAUUUAUUGAGGACCUGCUAAGGGCCAGGGACUAGGAAUAGAAGAAUGUGUAAAUCACAGCUCUAACCUUUGCCUUUCUAGUCUGGUAAUGUCUCUGAAUGCCGAUCUCUCUCUCUCUUAGAAAGAGGUGCCUUGUCCUCUCUCUCAACUGUCCCACCAUCAGUAAGGGAACCAGGAAACCAGUCUUUGAGUAUGGAGUUAACAAGAAAGCUGAGUGUUGGGCGGCUUUUUUGUGGAAGCUCACUGCUUAUCCAUGUAAUGUUUCAUUAAUUCUUUGAUGCUGAAGUUUCACCUCCUGCAGGGAGCAUUUGCAGCACCCCAGGCGAGUUGUCAGCAGUUGCUGCCUGGCAGUAGCACACAUUAACUCUAGUGAGCAGAAGUGGAGCUCGAAGGCUCCCCACACUGCUGCACCUUGAGCUGCUCUUCCUGGCCCAGCCUGUUCUGCUUCCUGGGACCCCAGAUCUGGUCUCCAAGUACUGUUUCUCUUCUAAGUGUAGUCAUUAACUUCCCAGAGUGAGAAGAAGAGACUAAAAAAAAAGAGAGACAGACUGUCUCUUAGUUUUAAUUAAUUGUUGAAAGAAUAGAGAGGGGCCAUAUUUCUACUGAAAGAAAGGAGAAGUUGGGGAAUGGGAAUAUUCUGAACCGGAAUGAAAAAGUGAAUGAAAGGUAAUCUUUAGAUUCAGUCUCUUUGCCCUAGUCUUUAAAAGUUUCUGUUGGGGGUUAUUUGCCCUAGUCUUUAAAAGUUUCUGUUGGGGGUUACAAAGUUUGAAAUCUGUCUUAAGGAGGGAUGUAUUACUCAAAAUAAAUUGCCUCUAUCAUUCAGUGUGAUAUGAUGGACUUGGAAGGGGCAGGAUUAGAGGAGGUGAGGGAUAAAAAUCUACAUAUUGUGUACAGUGUAUACUACUCCAGUGAUAGAUGCACUAAAAUCUCAGCCUUCACCACAGUUCAUGCAUGUAACCAAAACCACUGCUACCCCAAAAGCUGCUGAAAUAAAAAGCAACAACAAC